GAUGAACGCUGGCGGCGUGCCUAAUACAUGCAAGUCGAGCGAACGGACGAGAAGCUUGCUUCUCUGAUGUUAGCGGCGGACGGGUGAGUAACACGUGGAUAACCUACCUAUAAGACUGGGAUAACUUCGGGAAACCGUAGCUAAUACCGGAUAAUAUUUUGAACCGCAUGGUUCAAAAGUGAAAGACGGUCUUGCUGUCACUUAUAGAUGUAUCCGCGCUGCAUUAGCUAGUUGGUAAGGUAACGGCUUACCAAGGCAACGAUGCAUAGCCGACCUGAGAGGGUGAUCGGCCACACUGGAACGGAGCCACGGUCCAGACUCCUACGGGAGGCAGCCGUAGGGAAUCUUCCGCAAUGGGCGAAAGCCUGACGGAGCAACGCCGCGUGAGUGAUGAAGGUCUUCGGAUCGUAAAACUCUGUUAUUAGGGAAGAACAUAUGUGUAAGUAACUGUGCACAUCUUGACGGUACCUAAUCAGAAAGCCACGGCUAACUACGUG
rnacentral:rRNA from 1 species